GGUUAAGCGACUAAGCGUACACGGUGGAUGCCCUGGCAGUCAGAGGCGAUGAAGGACGUGCUAAUCUGCGAAAAGCGUCGGUAAGGUGAUAUGAACCGUUACAGCCGGCGAUGUCCGAAUGGGGAAACCCAGUGCAAUUCGUUGCACUAUCGUUAACUGAAUACAUAGGUUAACGAGGCGAACCGGGGGAACUGAAACAUCUAAGUACCCCGAGGAAAAGAAAUCAACCGAGAUUCCCCCAGUAGCGGCGAGCGAACGGGGAGCAGCCCAGAGUCUGAAUCAGCUUGUGUGUUAGUGGAACGGUCUGGAAAGUCCGACGGUACAGGGUGAUAGUCCCGUACACCAAAAUGCACAGGCUGUGAACUCGAAGAGUAGGGCGGGACACGUGGUAUCCUGUCUGAAUAUGGGGGGACCAUCCUCCAAGGCUAAAUACUCCUGACUGACCGAUAGUGAACCAGUACCGUGAGGGAAAGGCGAAAAGAACCCCGGCGAGGGGAGUGAAAAAGAACCUGAAACCGUGUACGUACAAGCAGUGGGAGCACCUUCGGGUGUGACUGCGUACCUUUUGUAUAAUGGGUCAGCGACUUAUAUUCUGUAGCAAGGUUAACCGUAUAGGGAGCCGCAGGGAAACCGAGUCUUAACUGGGCGUUAAGUUGCAGGGUAUAGACCCGAAACCCGGUGAUCUAGCCAUGGGCAGGUUGAAGGUUGGGUAACACUAACUGGAGGACCGAACCGACUAAUGUUGAAAAAUUAGCGGAUGACUUGUGGCUGGGGGUGAAAGGCCAAUCAAACCGGGAGAUAGCUGGUUCUCCCCGAAAGCUAUUUAGGUAGCGCCUCGUGAAUUCAUCUUCGGGGGUAGAGCACUGUUUCGGCUAGGGGGUCAUCCCGACUUACCAACCCGAUGCAAACUGCGAAUACCGAAGAAUGUUAUCACGGGAGACACACGGCGGGUGCUAACGUCCGUCGUGAAGAGGGAAACAACCCAGACCGCCAGCUAAGGUCCCAAAGUCAUGGUUAAGUGGGAAACGAUGUGGGAAGGCACAGACAGCCAGGAUGUUGGCUUAGAAGCAGCCAUCAUUUAAAGAAAGCGUAAUAGCUCACUGGUCGAGUCGGCCUGCGCGGAAGAUGUAACGGGGCUAAACCAUGCACCGAAGCUGCGGCAGCGACACUAUGUGUUGUUGGGUAGGGGAGCGUUCUGUAAGCCUGCGAAGGUGUGCUGUGAGGCAUGCUGGAGGUAUCAGAAGUGCGAAUGCUGACAUAAGUAACGAUAAAGCGGGUGAAAAGCCCGCUCGCCGGAAGACCAAGGGUUCCUGUCCAACGUUAAUCGGGGCAGGGUGAGUCGACCCCUAAGGCGAGGCCGAAAGGCGUAGUCGAUGGGAAACAGGUUAAUAUUCCUGUACUUGGUGUUACUGCGAAGGGGGGACGGAGAAGGCUAUGUUAGCCGGGCGACGGUUGUCCCGGUUUAAGCAUGUAGGCUGGUUGUCCAGGCAAAUCCGGAUAAUCAAGGCUGAGGUGUGAUGACGAGGCACUACGGUGCUGAAGUAACAAAUGCCCUGCUUCCAGGAAAAGCCUCUAAGCAUCAGGUAACAUUAAAUCGUACCCCAAACCGACACAGGUGGUCAGGUAGAGAAUACCAAGGCGCUUGAGAGAACUCGGGUGAAGGAACUAGGCAAAAUGGUGCCGUAACUUCGGGAGAAGGCACGCUGGUGUGUAGGUGAAGUCCCUGCGGAUGGAGCUGAGACCAGUCGAAGAUACCAGCUGGCUGCAACUGUUUAUUAAAAACACAGCACUGUGCAAACACGAAAGUGGACGUAUACGGUGUGACGCCUGCCCGGUGCCGGAAGGUUAAUUGAUGGGGUUAUCCGUAAGGAGAAGCUCUUGAUCGAAGCCCCGGUAAACGGCGGCCGUAACUAUAACGGUCCUAAGGUAGCGAAAUUCCUUGUCGGGUAAGUUCCGACCUGCACGAAUGGCGUAAUGAUGGCCAGGCUGUCUCCACCCGAGACUCAGUGAAAUUGAACUCGCUGUGAAGAUGCAGUGUACCCGCGGCAAGACGGAAAGACCCCGUGAACCUUUACUAUAGCUUGACACUGAACAUUGAGCCUUGAUGUGUAGGAUAGGUGGGAGGCUUUGAAGCGUGGACGCCAGUCUGCGUGGAGCCAACCUUGAAAUACCACCCUUUAAUGUUUGAUGUUCUAACGUUGGCCCCUUACCGGGGUUGCGGACAGUGUCUGGUGGGUAGUUUGACUGGGGCGGUCUCCUCCCAAAGCGUAACGGAGGAGCACGAAGGUUAGCUAAUCCUGGUCGGACAUCAGGAGGUUAGUGCAAUGGCAUAAGCUAGCUUGACUGCGAGCGUGACGGCGCGAGCAGGUGCGAAAGCAGGUCAUAGUGAUCCGGUGGUUCUGAAUGGAAGGGCCAUCGCUCAACGGAUAAAAGGUACUCCGGGGAUAACAGGCUGAUACCGCCCAAGAGUUCAUAUCGACGGCGGUGUUUGGCACCUCGAUGUCGGCUCAUCACAUCCUGGGGCUGAAGUAGGUCCCAAGGGUAUGGCUGUUCGCCAUUUAAAGUGGUACGCGAGCUGGGUUUAGAACGUCGUGAGACAGUUCGGUCCCUAUCUGCCGUGGGCGCUGGAGAAUUGAGGGGGGCUGCUCCUAGUACGAGAGGACCGGAGUGGACGCAUCACUGGUGUUCGGGUUGUCAUGCCAAUGGCACUGCCCGGUAGCUAAAUGCGGAAGAGAUAAGUGCUGAAAGCAUCUAAGCACGAAACUUGCCCCGAGAUGAGUUCUCCCUGAGACUUUAAGUCUCCUGAAGGAACGUUAAAGACGAUGACGUUGAUAGGCCGGGUGUGUAAGCGCAGCGAUGCGUUGAGCUAACCGGUACUAAUGAACCGUGAGGCUUAACCUU
rnacentral:rRNA from 1 species